rnacentral:lncRNA from 1 species
CUGGUGCAAAGGUGAGCAUGAGCUGUGCCUGCACUAGAGAAGACUUAGGGGAGCCUGCUCAACUUGGUUGUUUUCAGCUGGAAUUUUUGUCACUUCUUUGUAGAGUUAUAGGCAAUUGAACUUCUUCUUUGAUGACACUCAGAACUCCACCUACCCUGGAACUGAGCCAGAUCCACUCUUCAGACAACUUGUGGGAAAUCUAAUUAUAAUUACAAAUGAAAUCUUAAUAUUAUAAAAAUAUCUUAAGCUUCCACAGCCAAGCAAGACAAAAUAAGAAAGACCAAACUUAACUUCCCUCCAUGAGUAACUAAGAAACUGCAUGAAGUAUGUGCAACAACUGUUUUCAGACAUUGGACAACAGCCAGCUCAGGACUCUGAUCCCUGAGAGUAGAUAAACAAAGUAAGCCCUACAUUUGUCCAUAUUUCUUCUUGGAAGCAGUUUCCCAAACACAGGUGUGAGUAGAGGAACUCCAGAUAGGACCCAGUGCCCCACUGAGAUGAGGAGAUGGAAAUCAGAGUUCGAAGUGGCUGAAGCAGCUGGAGGUUGAAGGGUUGAACCCUGAGAAACCAGACUUCUUCCAUCUUGCAACAUAGCCAUCUUCAACAUGAAACCUCAGUGACCCACACAUGAGUCAUUCCUUUGAAGGACUACAAGGUUCAGAGUCUCUACCAGUGGCCCCUGCCCUCUGAGUAAAUAAUAUUGAUUAUAAUAACUGUAAGCAAUAAACUCUCAUGUUUUAAGCCA